UACGUAGGGUGCAAGCGUUGUCCGGAAUUAUUGGGCGUAAAGAGCUCGUAGGCGGUCUGUCGCGUCUGCUGUGAAAACUCAGGGCUUAACCCCGAGCCUGCAGUGGAUACGGGCAGACUAGAGGUAGGUAGGGGAGAAUGGAAUUCCCGGUGUAGCGGUGAAAUGCGCAGAUAUCGGGAGGAACACCGGUGGCGAAGGCGGGUCUCUGGGCCGAUACUGACGCUGAGGAGCGAAAGCGUGGGGAGCGAACAGG
rnacentral:rRNA from 1 species